AGACACCCUUCUGGGGCAAGACUUGCUUCAGUGGGGCUUUGGUGCUCACUGAGUCUGCCCCAUGAGUGUGUCCCU
rnacentral:pre_miRNA from 1 species